GUUUUAAUAAUUUAAUAAAAAUAACGGUCUUGUAAAUCGUAUAUAAGAAUCACUCUUUUAAAACU
rnacentral:tRNA from 1 species